rnacentral:lncRNA from 1 species
CACCUCGGUCUCCCAAAGUGCUGGGAUUACAGGCAUGCACCACCAUGCCCAGCUAAUUUUUGUAUUUUUACUAGAGACAGGGUUUCACCACAUUGGUGAGGCUGGUCUCAAACUCCUGACCUCGUGAUCCGCCCGCCUCAGCCUCCCAAAGUGCUGGGAUUACAGGCGUGAACCACUGCGCCCGGCCUCAUUUGCCAUUCUUGAGCGUUAAAUCAAACCUUGCAAAGUUGGGCACUAGUUGCCACUGAGACUUUAGAGAAAUCUGCUUAUCCUGGAAUUACUCUUCUUGGAGUGCUGCGGGAAGCACUGCAGUUGGGAGGUACUUGGUCUAAAAAGAGCUUCAUUUGCAUAAAAUACAUUUUUGAUUGUUUUGUUUGCUAAGGACUCAAUUGAGCCCUAGUAAUUUGGUGAGGUCGAGUGGGUAGAAAAUAAAAAGAAGCAUUCCUUUCUUCCCCAACCUUCUUUUCCUCACCACAACCUUCACCAUUACGGUGUUACUUCAUUAUUUUAUGAAGUUCUAGGAAAUGAUUGUGUGAAUAAAUUGUCUCCAUUGUUUAUAUUUGGGGAAAUCUGCCAAAAUUUGAGGAAAGUAUAAACGUCAGUUUUUUUUUUUCUCACAAUGCCCAAUACAUCAGCCAUUCUCUCCACGUAAGCUGCUGCAUGCAAGUGGAGUAUUACUGAAGAGUACACCAUUGGUCUUAGCUAUUUUUUUCUCUUCCUGCAGUCCUCUUCUGCCCAUGUUUUCCUAUACACAGCAACUAUAAGGUGCUGAAGACAUUUGGUUUUCUCUUAAGCUGAAGGAGUUCUCAGCUGUUCUGUCUUUGGGGCAUGGGCAUCAGGGAGAUUCUGACAGUAGAAAGGUAUUAUGUAGUGUGAUUUUUUUGUUGCUUUCUGGGGUGAACUGUAUACUUAACAGGUGGUGUACUUUUUUAUUACCAGAUUUGAAUCCAGCUGAUGCUCUUUUAUACUACAGUGGCCAGCAGGAAAACAAUGUACAAACUUUUUUUUUUUUUAAUGCAUUUAAAAUGAAGGGCAUUCUGCCUUUUUUUUUUUUUUUUUUUUUUUUUUUUUUUUAGUGGCAAAGUCAAUCUCAAUGUUUCAAGUCUGGAUUUAGGCAACUACAUUUACUAGGAUUUUUUAAAUUGUAUCCCUUAGCAUGUUGUUUAUUUGGUUUUUACUUAAAUGUUUACUUCUAAUGUUUUCCUAACAUGGUCUCAUUUUGUAAUGUAAAUUUGUAUUAAAUGCCAUACACACAUUUUCAUUCUUCUGCUAAAACAUGUAUUGUGUGCACUUACUAAAUUUUAAAGCAUUAAAAAUUAUUUCAAAAUAGCCAGUGUCUCUGUUUUCUAAACCACUUCUGGGUAGCUUGGGGCUGGAAUAUUGGAUAGUCUUUAUUGGAUAGUCUUUAUUGGAUAGUCUUUUUAGAAUGAUUCUUGUGCUGACCAUCA